AACCACUUGAUAAUUAGUGAAUAUGAGGAGAGCUGUACCUCCAAACCUAAUUUACACAAAGAUGUUUGUUAAAUAACAAAUCAAAACUGUCAACAGAUUUUACUUUCUUGUAACAUGUAAACAGUUUUUAUGAAUUAUACUCUAUUUGAAAUAUGUGAAACAUUUUAAUUUACAUCUGAUGUUUAAAAUAUUUUCUCAGUGAGGAACAGGUGUCCAUUGCACUUAAACUAGCAGCUCCGUUUGUGGAAUCUGACAACAGUCUUAACUGAAAAGGGAGAUUGUCUCAUUCACCUCUAAUUUUAUCAUAAUAUGCUGAGAGUCUUCUCCUAGUUUUGCUUCAGCCACUUUUAAGGCACAUGAUGCUUUCUCACUCUCCUUUCCAGUGUAAUUCACAGCUCUUCCCAGGGCUGGGACCCGAGACUCCAGUGUCUCUGCGUGGAAGAAGCAAGUCAUGAGAUAUCAGGAUUCCUGUUAUUAUUUCCAGUUAGCCCCAAACUGAAUGUAUAACUUGUUCAAGUUGAAACCUCUCAACACCUUUAAGAAAAUCGUUUGUGCUCAACAUCUUCUACAUUCUCUUCCACUCGUCAAAUAAGUCCCUUGAUUCAUUAAUUGUUAUCCUCCUGCUUUUGGAAAACACAAUGAAGUAUUAUUACUCAAUACAAAAAAUUCUACCAAAAUAUUACUCAGUAACAAUAAAGAAGGUACAUACAGGGUUUGACACCCUUUCUAAUAAUAGCAAUAAUAGCUAACAUUCAUUGAAUGUUAUAUGUCAGUACUGCUCUAAGUGAUAGACAUAUUCAUGUAAUCGUCAGAGUAAACCUGACUGACAGAAGAGUAAACUGAACAGAGAGAGGUUAAAUAUCUUUUGGGGCAAGUAGGUGACAGAACUGAGGUGACAGAUGGCUGAACCUCACCGUCUGGAUCUGGGUUCAUAGACUUAACCACUUCAUGCCCCACCUUCCAAUGUUAUGUACUAAGUUGGAGAAGACACUUUCUGGUAUCUUAAAGUGAGAGAACAAGGAGCUUAGGUUAAGCAGAAAUCUCUAACACUACUUCAAUCUAAAAGUAUACGCACCACAUCAGCCUUUGCGAAAAAAGUAGGAGAUGAGAGAAAGGACAGACUGAGCAUCCAGGGAGGGAUAUUCGUACCCAUUUUCUUAUAAGGCACAUACAACUCCCACGUGGUAAAUGGGAGUAAAUAUAAAUUUGGACCUUAUGAUUCCAGUUAGUUGCAUCUGGCUUUUAUAAAAUUCUGUAUACUCUCUCAGUUACAGAUGAACAGUUCAUCAAAUGAGAGAAAGUGAAAGAAAAAGAGAUGCUCCUCAUAAAAAGAUAAGACUUGUUCUUCUGUUAUUUUUGCUAAAUACAAUUUGAAUUACCUAUGGUAUUCCAUUGAACAAAUAUGCCAAAAUUAAACAAUUCAUUUUCUUUAGGACAUUUAGGUUCUUCUAAUUUUUCACCCUUAUAUGUAAUGGGAAUAAUGAACAUCUUUAUAUAUGGACUUUAAUCUGUGGAUACCUCCGUUGGAUUUAAAUGGAUUUAGUUAAAGCUGACAACUCUUUCUAUCACUCUUAACACAUUUUGUAAGAUGCAUUUUUUGAGCACUUUUUUGUUGGUCUUUUUUUUUUUCCUGCUGGAAAUGAGGUAGUGGUGAUGAGUAUAGUAUUAGCAGCAGGGUAGGUUCAAGUGCCCUAUGAAGCCUUUCAGAUGUUACUUGGCAUAAGAAGGUUAUCCCCCACUGUCUUUUCAAAGUGGAAUACAAUGACCAGGCUCCUCGUGUUUUUGCCAGGAAAGAUUACCUGGGGAAAUCCAAUACAAAACUUUAAACAAACAUCUGAGAAACCUAUUAUUCUGACUAACCACUGACAUUGUACCUUCUCAUAGAUUGUCAGAUACAGUAAUUACUUAUGCUCUUUCUUCAGGCAUCUGCUUGAAAUUUGACCACGAAUUUCAUAGCUUCUGGGUAAAUAGAGAAAGUAAUUUCUGUCAACACUGCUCAAAAUUCUUUUUGACCUUAGAGGAGCUUCAGCUAUGGAAAAUAUCGUAUCAUAUGAUGUCAGCAUUUACAAUGAGAUAAAGUUAUUCUAUUUUAUAUAUUAUAAAUGAAAUAGUGAAUUAGGUUAAUCCUUUCAUUAUAAGGGAAAUAGAUUUUCAAAAUAUUUUAAAAUCUUAAUAAUAUAAUAUACCUUAAAAUUUGAUUGUUUUGUAUCCCUCCUUUUGCAAGUAUGUGAAACUAAGCUUUCCGUGGCAAAACACUUGCCUUAAGUGCACCAAGUUCUACUAGACCUCAACAUUUGGUUUAUGUGGUUGAUUUUUAAACCUACUUAUUUUCCUCAGAAUCUGCUCAAUUUUAUUAUUAUAUGUAACUAGCUAAAUUAUAUUUCAUGUCCAAAGGGAAAUACAGUGUUCUUUGAACCUAAGAAACCCUUUUAAAUGGGAAGAUAGCUUAGUUGCUUUGAGUCUUCUUUAUGCUGUUGCAAAACAGGACAUUAAUUUUGCCCCCAAAGUCAAAACAACUCUUCCUUUUCUAAAUUUAAAUGCAGCACAAAUAUAAAAAUAAGUUCAGAGACCAGCGAGAAGGUACAUUAUUCGUUAUAGACUCAAAAUUUUGGGCUGACAAGUGUUGGUUUUAUGGAAUUUUAAAAUAAAAAUAUACAAAAAAUUUAGAUGAAAGAAUACUGGCAAAAUCAGGAGCUACUGCUGUGGCUCAGCAGCAGGUUACAAACCCGACUAGUACCUAUGAUGAUGCCAGUUUGACCCUUUGCCUCGCUCAUUGGAUUAAAGAUCUGGCUUUCCCAUGAGCUGUGGUGUAGGUCACAUAGCUUAGAUCUGGCAUUACAGUGGCUGUAGUGUAGGCUGGCAGCUGCAGCUGUGAUUUGACCCUUAGCCUGGGAACUUCCAUAUGCUGCAGGUGCAGCCCUAGAAAGCAAUAAAUAAAUAAGAAUAUUAGCAAAAUGAUAUUCACAAACUAGAGUUAUUGGUUGUUUUAAGUAGGAAAGGAUGCCUCAAUUACUAAUACCAUAAAAGUAUAUAUAGGAGACGUUAUAGACUGAAUGUUUGUGUCCCCCAAAAGAACUCAUAUGCUGAAGCCCUGACCCCAACAAGGCUGGAUUUGGUGCCUCUAAUCCAAUAGGAUUAGUGUCCCUAUAAGAAAAGACACCUGAGAGCUUGCUUGCUCUCUAGCCCUCUCUAUACAUUCAUUUAGGAAAGGCUGCAAUGAGGAUAAAGCCAGAAGCUGGCCAUCUACAAGGAAGGAAGAGAGCUGAACUGGCCAGCACCUUGAUCAUGAACUUCUAGCCUCCAAAAACUGUGAGGAAACAAAUUUCUGUUGUUUAAGGCACCAUGUCUGUGGCAUUUUGUUAACACAAAUAGACUAAUACAGAAGGUUCCAUAGUGGAGGGAAGAGUCUGUGUGUUGGGUUAGAAUUGGGAAGUGUGAUGCUUUAAGUGAGUUAUGUUCUAUUAGCACUUCUGCUAUCCUUGUAUAUUGUUUAUAGUUCUGUGUUAUUUUACAAUUAUCUUAAAAGCACCUAUUUUUUUCUUUCUGAGUAGUCCAUGAAAACAAGAAGAAAGAAAUUAACAUUUAUUAGACACUUAACAUGUGUGCCAGGCACCAUUUCACAUGUGUUUUCUCAUUUAAUUCUUAGAAACAUCUUGUAACUUAAGUAUUGUUAUUCCAAUGAUUACAGUUAAUGAGAUAAAAUAGCUUUCUCCCACCAUCACUUGGCUAAUUAAUGGGCAGAUUUGGGAUUCAGACCCACUUUUUUUUUCCUCCAAAGCCAUAGUCUUUCCUUUAAAUAAUAUUCAGGAUCCAAUCGAAAAUAGAAACCACUCUGGCAUUUCAGAUGGAGGGGAAUUGAUUGGACUGGGAGUUGUAGAACUCAAAGGCUGAAAAGAAGAGGGUGAAGCAGCCCAGAGAAUAACACAAGCAAGACACAGCUACUACUACCCUUGAACUGGAGAAUCUAAGGGAGUGUGUGGAGGCUGGGGUCACUGUCAGCUUCUCUAUGGCAGCUAGGACCAUGGAGAAGUCAUCAAAUAAGAGCCCAAACCACUGACCUAGUCACCAUCCAGGCGGAGAGGGAAAUUGUCAUGCCAGGUUCACGACUAACUACUGCUGGUUGCUAAUGUCUUCUCCCUUCCUUCAGACUCUCUUCUACCCCAGGAGGCAUUCUUUCCUUUCCUUUCUUUAAAUUAAAGUGUAGCUGAUUUACAAUGUUGUACCAAUUUCUGCUGUACAGCUAAGCGACCCAGUCAUGCAUAUAUAUACAUUCUUUUUCUCAUCCCCUGUCAUGUUCUAUCCCAAGAGAUUGGACAUAGUUCCCUUUGUUGUACAGUAGAACCUCAUUGCUUACCCAUUCUAAAUGUAAUAGUUUGCAUAGCUAACCUCAAACUCCCCAUCCAUCCUACUCCCUCCCUCUCCCCCUUGGCAACCACAAGUCUGUUCGCUAUGUCCAUGAAUCUCUUUCUGUUUUACAGAUAGGUUCAUUUGUGCCAUGUUUUGGAUUCCACAUAAAAGUGAUAUCAUAUGCUAUUUGCCUUUCUCUUUCUGACUUAGGUCACUUAGUUUGAGACUCAUUAGUUGCAUCUCUGUUGCUGCAAAUGGCAUUAUUUUGUUCCUUUUUAUGGGAGAGUAGUAUUGUCCUCUUUGGGGAAAUGUCUAUUUGGGUCUUCUGCCCAUGAGGUGUUCUUUUCAUUUCUUGGAGGCAGCACAGCCUCAUCCCAGUUUUCAUUCACGGAAAGCUAGUAGCUCAUUCCAAUGAUCAUGGAUUUAGGAAAUCACUCUCCCCACUCCCUCCCCACUCUCAUGUAUAUACAUCUAAUUCCCCAACUUGUUCUCAUAGUACAAAGUGGCUUCAGGACAUUUAUGUGCAGAAACAGAAAUAUUUGACCAGAGAGAGUGAGUCUAUGGGUCUCCAUACUGCAUAUUUCAGGGGUCACUAGUCACAGCAAGGUCUAAGUGAAUGGCACCCCUAUGGAGUUUUGCAGUGCAUGGCCAUUUGCAUAGACUCUCAGGAGUUGUGCAAAAAAAAGGACACCUUUGCAAUGGUAUAAACAGCAUGGUCUCAGGCAAUUAAAUAGGAUACAGACAAAAUCUUGUUUAGAUUCCAAGUCAGUUCUGACUGUGAUUCCUCAGUCUAUAUACCAAUGUCUGAUUUCUAAAGACUGCCAAAGCCAGCCAUCUCAAAAGUCUACAUUCCCUCUUGCCAGGCAUCUCAAAAGUCUACAUUCUCUCAUGGAAUCCAACUUUUCUGCUUUGUUUUAUUCAACGGAUACACCCCCUUUGCCGCUGGUCCUAAACUUCUUCUAGACUCUUUUUUGUUCUCUAACAGUCCUCUUCCUCCUACUGGGCUAUUUCCGUUCACCUUCCACUAGUUAUUCCCACCACACAGAACUGUAUGUUAUGUCCAGAAAGAGAUAAAGAUCUCUCUUGUUUAUCAGCUAUUAACCUUUGCUCAUAUAAAUAAUUACAUGACAGUAAACUGAUUGUCCCAAAUAUAUGUACAUAUGAAAAUCAGAGGAAAGCAUCACCAAAGCUUAUUUUUCAUAAGAACCUGCAGGAACAAUUUUUAUUAACCAAGCUUACAAGGUAUCAAUCAUUUAAAUUAUUAAUAGAGACCCUAGAAUGUGUUACCUAGUAAGGUCCUACAAGCAUUUGCUCAUGCUGAAAACAAUUGUAAUUAUUCUCUGUUCAGAAAAGAGGAAAGAAGUCACUAGCAUUCAUCUUUGCAGUGGUUCAUUCAGAACUAUUCACGGCAUUAGGCAUUAUCUGCCCUAUCACUCUGCCUUUUCAAAAAAGAUCAUAUGUGUAGACUAAAGGGACUGUCCUGACUGACAACAAUGUAAAGGAGGUCCCUAAGUUCAGAGUGACGAACCAUAACCCAUAUGCACCUGGCUAGUUAAUAACAGAAUAAAGUCAGGAGUUCAGAGAUUCUGAAUACUCAUAUUCGGAGGUAUUAUUUACCUCUUUGAAAUAGAUGUAACCUAAGAAAUGUUCCUUUUAUUUUCUUGAUCUGGAAAAUUUAAUUAAACAGAGACCUAUAAUAAUAACAUAUUUUCUCCUCUGUUUGGGGUGCUUCAUCAACUGGCACUUUUUAUGUGGAUUGUGUAUCACCCUGUGCAAUUAGAAACAGGUCUACUUAGUAAGCCUUCUCGCCUUUACUCCAAUCUCCCUGAUAAUAAUAAUCAAAGUGUCCUACCAAUGACAUAACUACUUCAGUUCUACAGAAACCAUGGUGUAGCUGAUAGAUCUUUGAAAUUUAUGAACAACACUUGCAGAAUUCUGUGUGCAUUUCCAUAUUUGCUAGGCUUUAUCCUGUAAAAUUUUAAUUUUCUGGUUGGGGAGUUCCACUGUGGCUCAGAGGUAAUGCACCUGACUAGUAUCCAUGAGGAUGUGGUUUCAAUCCCUGGCCUUGCUCAGUGGGUUAAGGAUCUGGUGUUGCUGUGACUGUGGUGUAGGCUGGAAACUGUAGGUCUGCUUUGACCCCUAGCCUGGGAACC
rnacentral:lncRNA from 1 species